ACGGGUGCGUAACACGUGGGAAUAUACCUUUUGGUUCGGAACAACGCAGGGAAACUUGCGCUAAUACCGAAUGUGCCCUUACGGGGAAAGAUUUAUCGCCAAAGGAUUAGCCCGCGUAGGAUUAGCUAGUUGGUGAGGUAAUGGCUCACCAAGGCUCCGAUCCUUAGCUGUUCUGAGAGGAAGAUCAGCCACACUGGGACUGAGACACGGCCCAGACUCCUACGGGAGGCAGCAGUUGGGAAUCUUGGACAAUGGGGGAAACCCUGAUCCAGCCAUGCCGCGUGAGUGAUGAAGGCCUUCGGGUUGUAAAACUCUUUCGACGGGGACGAUAAUGACGGUACCCGUAGAAGAAGCUCCGGCUAACUUCGUGCCAGCAGCCGCGGUAAUACGAAGGGGGCUAGCGUUGUUCGGAAUUACUGGGCGUAAAGCGCGCGCAGGCGGCUAUCCAAGUCAGUGGUGAAAGCCCGGAGCUCAACUCCGGAACUGCCAUUGAAACUGUUUAGCUUGAGGACGAGAGAGGUGAGUGGAAUUCCCAGUGUAGAGGUGAAAUUCGUAGA
rnacentral:rRNA from 1 species